rnacentral:rRNA from 1 species
GUGAGGAAUAUUGGUCAAUGGACGGAAGUCUGAACCAGCCAUGCCGCGUGCGGGAUGAAGGCCUUCGGGUUGUAAACCGCUUUUACCUGGGAAGAACGCCCGUCUCGUGAAGAUGGGUUUGACGGUACCAGAGGAAUAAGCCCCGGCUAACUCCGUGCCAGCAGCCGCGGUAAUACGGAGGGUGCAAGCGUUAUCCGGAUUCACUGGGUUUAAAGGGUGUGUAGGCGGGCUUGUAAGUCAGGGGUGAAAUCCUACAGCUUAACUGUAGAACUGCCUUUGAUACUAUAGGUCUUGAAUAUUGUUGAGGUGGGCGGAAUACAUCAUGUAGCGGUGAAAUGCUUAGAUAUGAUGUAGAACACCGAUUGCGAAGGCAGCUUACUAAGCUACAACUGACACUGAAACACGAAAGCGUGGGGAUCAAACAGGAUUAGAAACCCUAGUAGUCC